rnacentral:rRNA from 1 species
CUUACAAUGAAAAUAACCUUAGGGCUUUCUUGUAAUGUAAGUUAUAGUUAAAAUAAAAGAAAAUAUAUUAAUUGUACCUUUUGUAUCAGGGGGGCUUAAAAUUACAGUAAUAUAGUGAUCGAUUAGAGUAGAUCUUUUUAUUAAAUUUUUAGUUGUAAUUAAAGGUUAUAAAAAUUUAAGAGGUGAAAAGUGUACGGUGCUCGUGGUAUCUAAUUGUUUUGUGUAUAAAUGGUUAAGUUUUUAUGUUUCUAAAAUAUUAAGAAAUUAUUAAAAGCUAGGCUUUAGAUUAGCCAUGUUAAUAGAUUGUUUUAAGUAAUUUAUUUAAAUGUUUUAGGUUAGAGUUUACAGUCAAUAUUUAAAUAUUUAAGUAAAUAAAUAUAAUGAGUUUAUUGAACAACAAAAGAAGAUUUAAAAUUACUCGAGUAUGUUAGAAAGUUUAGCAAAAACAUUUCUAUUUACGGAAAUAAAAGUAAAGCCUGCCCGGUGCUAAGUUAACGGCUGCGGUAUUUUGACCGUGCUAAGGUAGCAUAAUCAUUUGCUUUUUAAUUGAUAGCUGGUAUGAAAGGUUAAACUAAUUUACCUAGUUUGUAGAUCUAGUUAGGAGUUUUAAGUUAAGGUAAUAAUUCUUUAAUUUUCUAGGGGACGAUAAGACCCUAGAAGCUUGAUAAAUAUAGAUUUUAUUAGUUAUAAAUUAAAAUUUAUUUUACUGGGGCGGUAUUUACAAUUAAACUGUUUUUUUAGUGAUGGAUCUCUUAUAUAAGGAAAUAAUGGGUAAGUUACUCUAGGGAUAACAGUGCGAUAUAUUUAUAGAGACCUUAUCGAUAAAUGUGAUUGCAACCUC